rnacentral:rRNA from 1 species
GACGGGGCCCGCACAAGCGGAGGAGCAUGUGGUUUAAUUCGAUGAUACGCGAGGAACCUUACCUGGGCUCGAACGUAAGAUGACUGUAGGUGAAAGCUUACAUCUCUUCGGAGCAUUUUACGAGGUGCUGCAUGGUUGUCGUCAGCUCGUGCCGUGAGGUGUCGGGUUAAGUCCCAUAACGAGCGCAACCCUAUCAUUAGUUGCCAUCAGGUCAAGCUGGGGACUCUAAUGAAACUGCCUACGCAAGUAGUGAGGAAGGUGGGGAUGACGUCAAAUCAGCACGGCCCUUACGUCCAGGGCUACACACGUGCUACAAUGGCCGGUACAAAGGGCAGCUACCUGGUGACAGGAUGCAAAUCUCCAAAGUCGGUCUCAGUUCGGAUCGGAGUCUGCAACCCGACUCCGUGAAGUUGGAUUCGCUAGUAAUCGCGCAUCAGCCAUGGCGCGGUGAAUACGUUCCCGGGCCUU